CGGUUGAUCCUGCCGGAGGCCGCUGCUAUCCGGCUGGGACUAAGCCAUGCGAGUCAAGGGGCUUGUAUCCCUUCGGGGAUACAAGCACCGGCGGACGGCUCAGUAACACGUGGACAACCUGCCCUCGGGUGGGGGAUAACCCCGGGAAACUGGGGCUAAUACCCCAUAGGGGAUGGGUACUGGAAUGUCCCAUCUCCGAAAGCGCUUAGCGCCCGAGGAUGGGUCUGCGGCGGAUUAGGUAGUUGGCGGGGUAACGGCCCGCCAAGCCGAAGAUCCGUACGGGCCAUGGGAGUGGGAGCCCGGAGAUGGACCCUGAGACACGGGUCCAGGCCCUACGGGGCGCAGCAGGCGCGAAACCUCCGCAAUGCGGGAAACCGCGACGGGGUCAGCCGGAGUGCUCGCGCAUCGCGCGGGCUGUCGGGGUGCCUAAAAAGCACCCCAUAGCAAGGGCCGGGCAAGGCCGGUGGCAGCCGCCGCGGUAAUACCGGCGGCCCGAGUGGCGGCCACUUUUAUUGGGCCUAAAGCGUCCGUAGCCGGGCUGGUAAGUCCUCCGGGAAAUCUGGCGGCUUAACCGUCAGACUGCCGGAGGAUACUGCCAGCCUAGGGACCGGGAGAGGCCGGGGGUAUUCCCGGGGUAGGGGUGAAAU
rnacentral:rRNA from 1 species